GGAGCUAAUACCGGAUAAUAUAUUGAACCGCAUGGUUCAAUAGUGAAAGACGGUUUUGCUGUCACUUAUAGAUGGAUCCGCGCCGCAUUAGCUAGUUGGUAAGGUAACGGCUUACCAAGGCAGCGAUGCGUAGCCGACCUGAGAGGGUGAUCGGCCACACUGGAACUGAGACACGGUCCAGACUCCUACGGGAGGGCAGCAGCUC
rnacentral:rRNA from 1 species